UUUCAGGUGACACCAAACUCCAUUUAUUCUGAUUUUACAAAGACUACAAAAUUCUCCAGAUGAUUUUAAACCGCAGUCUCUUAUUAUUUACAUGAUAUGUUACUUACAAAUGUACAAAAUAUAAAACAUUUACGCACCGAAAACAAACUGCAAUAAAUGUUACACUCGCAACAGUCGCAACGACACAACAAAAUCAAAACGAAACAAAAACAAGACAAUAAGAGCAUCGACAUGUGAUCAGUACGCUCCAUAAAGCGCAAUUCUCCCCUGUUUAUUAUUAUUAUUAUUAUUAUUAUUAUUAUUAUUAUUAUUAUUAUUAUACAUUAGACAAAACUGGACUUUUAACACUUCAAAAAUGUAAUGCAGGUUUUGUGGAGCAGAAAUAAUCUGAAUAUCUGAAUGAUUGAAAAUGGGAUUAAAUUUGAUAAUAAAUAAGAAGAAAAUGAUUUUUAACCGUUGGAGGUUGGAAAGGUCACCAAAGGUAACAAAAUCCAAUCCAAUUCAACAUUAGCAUUUUUGGCAGCUUAGGUUUCUUUAUUUUUACAGGAAUUGAAGACUUUGCAGUGCAUGCUGGGAAUUUAUGAAGUGAGUUUCAGUGGUAAAGUGCUUUCAGCUGGUUUUUAAAUCUACAAUAACGACCGAAUAACCGUCACAUUCCUGUCAUUUCGGUUCCUUAAACUCCUGAAGGUGACCUUAUUUAGCAGCUGAGAUUAAAGUUGGAUCGCAUUUAGAGUUUGCUCAUUCCUAAAAGAAAAAAAGAAAAAGAAAAGAAAAAGAUAUCACUUCUUUCUGGGGAAGAAUAGUCAUGAUUUUUCUUUUAAAAUUUCAAAUAGUUUCAGUAAAACACUGUUUAGGAUUCUGGCAAAAAGAUUUUGAGUAGAACGUAAACUUUACAAACUUUAAAAAAAACCCACAAAAACACACCACAAAUUAAUUAAUCAAAAAAAAGUUCAAGUUAAACAAAAAAGUUUAGGACUAUUGGAACAGUUUUUUGGCGCUCGAACUUUUAGCAGUUAAUUUUUUUGGGAACAAAACUUGAAGGAAAAUAUGUAAAAAAUUGUGCAAAUUUAAGUCACAGAUUUAAAAAAAAAUAUAUUCAUCAUUGUUGUUGUUUUGCUUCAUAUGAAAUUUGGUGAUUAAAAAGAUUCAGUUAAAGACGAAUUAAAGAAAGUUAAAAUGUGAAAAACUUAAAUAUUACAUUUAUAUUUAUAAAGGGACGCAGGAAUGCUUCGCCUCAUUUUGCACCUUUGUAUUCAUUUUUUAGAAAUUUAACACAAAACUAUUUAAAAUGAUUUCAUUCCUGUGCAGAGAUCACAAACACACACACACACACACACACACACACACACACACACACACACACACGCACACAGAAAUGCAGCCGAGGAGAAAUGAACUGAAUGUUUAACAGAUAUUAAAGUUCUGGAGCAGCACUGUGGGAAAGGUCAAAGGUCAUUAGCACCUGGAGGAUUUCGGUACUCUGCACCUUUAGAGUUUUUGUAAACGUAUCCGGGGAAGUGAAAGAAAACAAAACGUUCUAAUAUUAAAAAAACAUCUAUUCGGGGUUUUACGUCUAAUUCUGACAAGCAGCAGUUCAGAAACUACUGAUUCUGCACGAGACACUCAUUUAACAUCUUAACACACACUUAUUAUUAUUAUUAUUAUUAUUAUUAUUAUUAUUAUUAUUAAAAAUCCAUUCAAUUUAUUUUCUUUUUUAAAGCACCGCUUACACCUUUUGGUUUUUUUUUUUCCUUUUUUUUCCCCUUUUAGUCACUUUAGAUGAAAUAAACCUACUGGAUGUUAACAUGUUAAACACGUGGCAGCUUUUCACACUCAUUUUUUUUCCCUAAAUAAUAAAAUAAAUUAAGUCAACUUUAACACUUUACACUAUUUUGUUUCCACAGUUGUGAUGGUUGCGAUCAUAAACCGUGUUCCUUUACUAAUGACUAUAAAUGUCCCCUCAACUUUGUACUUCUUUCAACACCGUGUAAAAGGAAAAUAUAUAUAUAUAUAUUAAAACAGGGAAAUAUUACAGGCAUUCUUUUUUCUUUAAACUGUUUUUUUUAAUCGAUAGAAUUUAUAUUUAUAUUUAUUAAUACAGUAUUUUCUCAACAUGCUGUGAAGUUAAAUUUCCUCUCGUGAAAAUCUGGAGGACAUUUUUUAGAAUUUUUUUAAACUACAUAUUUUGGACGUUUUCGUGUAGCUGUGAUUAUUUUUGUGUUGUUUUAAAUAAAAUGUAAAUAUUUGUAGUAAAAUAAGUCAGUUCCCUACACCUUUACCACCAUAUUAACCAUAUUAACGUUUAUUUGUCGUUUAUUCGUUGUUGAUAUCUUAGUAGAAUUAUCGGACAUUUAUGUAAAUAUUUUGAAUUUAAAUAAUGUGGAGUUAAUGUUGAGGUAGUGAUAAUAUUUCUACUGUGAAUAUAUUGAAUAAUUAAUUAUUGGCACCUUCGUUCGUUUUCUUGGUGUCGCGUAUCCUUCUGAUCCAUUACAGGCUUUUAUUUUAUUCUCGGUUUACAUUUAAGACAUUUGUCAUGUUUACUUUCUAAACAGUUUUUGUUUUUACAAAAAGUAAUGGCACCUCAAAAAACAAGACAUUUCACAGGAGUGUAAAUAAACAGGUUGUUUUAGGCUUGUGGGAAAACUCAAGAAUGUUGUCAUCAUCAACAUCAUUUUGCCUUUGUUUACAUUUUCUACAUUUAUAGUGUUAGUAAAGUAGAGCUCAACGUGCAGUGUGAAUUUUUCCCGAAAUAACAAAGCACCGAUUUUACACAAUUCUGCACCUUAAACUGUAAAGAUAAUUUUUUUAUUUAUAAAUCAUUUUCAUAAACUAUAAAGAUUUUUUUUUUUACAUUUAUAAACCAUUCAGAUUUAUUUUUCCUGAUAAAAUGAAGCCAUGGCCACAUAACCAUAAAAACCAUAAAAACAAAAAAACAUAUAUUUUUAAAAAAGGCGUCAUGUACAGUGUGUUUUAAACGAAAAGUGCUUUAACGCUGUUUAAUGUGAGACAGGCUUGUGACAUUUUUACGGUUCUACUCGAAACAACUUUGAUCAUCGUCAUAGUUCAUCCACUGGCUGUGGAUUUAUAUCAACAUUAGGCUUUAGCAUUAGCAUGAAUAUUAAACUUUACAAUUCUUUUUUUUUUUUUUUUUUUUUUUUUUUUUGCUAGUGAAUAAUUCCCGAUAUUUAAUUUUUUCUUUCGGUAGAAUGAAUCGGUGACAAUGUGCAAGACUUCAAAUUUUGAACCUCACACUCACACACACACACACACACACACACACACACACACACACACACACACACGACAGAAGUAAAAACAGCAUGCUAGCAAAGCAACUUGUCUUAUUUGUGCUCAUCCUCAGAGUUCAGUUUGUCCCAGCUCAACUGGGAUUCCAUAAAUUCCAUAUUACUGGUUUAUUAUACACACGCACCAGGCUUUAUACCGAUGCGUCUGAAAUCCAACACUCUCUCAUGAGGUAACAAAAAUAAAAUAUGCAAACGUGGCAUUUAUUUGAUUUACAUUUCCGUCCUGUCCGAAAAAAGACUUUUUUCUUAAACUUUGCAGAAGUCCACUAGCGCUCAGCACAUUUAAGGCAGCAAAGAAGCACCAUAAUCAGAUGAGCUGUGAGCCUCCAGGAAGGAGUUGAUGUGUUGCCAUGUUUUUGGGAUCCAGUCGAUGAUCUUGAUGAGUUCGUUACUGCGUGUGUUUUUAUCGAUCUCCACCUCGAUCAGCUUCCUGCGCAGAAACCGACCUAGAAAGCCCCGUACCGGUUCCGUGUGAUUCGCACACAACACCCACCUGUAAUUAAAGUCAUACUGUCACACACUUCCUGUACGUAUACACA
ensembl:lncRNA